UACGUAGGUGGCAAGCGUUGUCCGGAAUUAUUGGGCGUAAAGCGCGCGCAGGCGGUCCUUUAAGUCUGAUGUGAAAGCCCACGGCUCAACCGUGGAGGGUUAUUGGAAACUGGGGGACUUGAGUGCAGGAGAGAAGAGUGGAAUUCCACGUGUAGCGGUGAAAUGCGUAGAGAUGUGGAGGAACACCAGUGGCGAAGGCGACUUACUGGACACAUAUUGACGCUGAGGCGCGAAAGCCAGGGAGCAAACGGG
rnacentral:rRNA from 1 species